rnacentral:lncRNA from 1 species
AUGACUCUGUGCACGUGCUUUUAUCCAUUGCAACAAAUCUGCUGUUUUCUGUUUCCAGCUUCUGCCUACAAGCUGGUGUGUUAUGUCACUAACUGGGAUCAAUACAGGAAAGGAUCAGCCAAGUUCACACCAGAUAAUGUAGACCCUUACUUGUGUACCCAUCUGAUCUUUGCUUUUGCUGGCAUACAAAAUAACCAAAUUACUACUACAGAAUGGAAUGAUGAAUUACUUUACAGGCAGCUCAAUGCCUUAAAGAAGAAAAAUAACAUGCUGCUCACAUUGCUGGCUGUUGGAGGAGGCACCUUUGAUAAUGAGAAGUUCAUCACCAUUGUAUCCUCUCCAACAAAUCGCCAGAUAUUCAUCACAUCAGUGAUAAACUUACUCCGAACAUAUGGUUUCGAUGGUUUGGAUCUUGACUGGGAAUAUCCUGGUUCCAAAGGGAGCCCCCCAGAGGAUAAACAUCGCUUCACUGUUUUGACUCAGGAAAUCUCAGCUGCUUUUAGGAAGGAAAGUGAAGCAACAGGAUGCCCACGACUAUUGCUUUCUGCAGCAGUGGCUUCCAACAAAUAUACCAUUGAUGCUGGAUAUGAAAUUGCAGCCCUUGGGAAGAGUUUGGAUUUUAUUAAUGUGAUGACAUAUGACUUCCAUGGAAGUUGGGCACCUGUAACAGGACACAACAGCCCUCUCUAUAAGGGCUCACAUGACUAUGAUCCAGUUCCUUUCUACAACUGCGAAUAUGCCAUGAAAUACUGGAAAGACAACGGAGCCCCUCCUGAGAAACUCAUGAUGGGAUUUCCAACAUAUGGACGAUCCUUCAAACUUUCUGGUACAGAUACUGGAGUUGGUGCUUCAGCCUCUGGUGGAGGCUCUCCUGGAGCCUAUACCAGGCAGUCUGGUAUCUUGGCAUAUUAUGAGGUCUGUGAUUUUUUAAAUGGAGCUACCAAGGCAUGGAUUGAAGAGCAGAAAGUUCCUUAUGCUUUCAAAGAUGGUGAAUGGGUUGGAUAUGACAAUGAAAGGAGUUUUCAGUUAAAAGCUGAGUUCUUGAAGAGAGAACAAUAUGGAGGAGCUGUGGUUUGGACUCUUGGCAUGGAUGAUUUCUCUGGCACCUUCUGUGGUCAAGGACCCAAUGUCCUUGUUAAUAAACUAAAAGACACCUUCAAAAACUGA